rnacentral:rRNA from 1 species
AACAAAGGGAAGCGAGAGAGCGAUCUGGAGCAAAUCCCAAAAAUAACGUCCCAGUUCGGAUUGUAGUCUGCAACCCGACUACAUGAAGCUGGAAUCGCUAGUAAUCGCGAAUCAGCAUGUCGCGGUGAAUACGUUCCCGGGUCUUGUACACACCGCCCGUCACACCAUGGGAGUCGGUAACGCCCGAAGUCAGUGACCCAACCGGAAGGAGGGAGCUGCCGAAGGCGGGACUGGUAACUGGGGUGAAGUCGUAACAAGGUAUC